GGAAAGAUGGCUGAGCUGGUCUAAGGCGCACGACUGGAAAUCGUGUGCGGGCUAAUACCCCGCCGGGGGUUCGAAUCCCCCUCUUUCCG
rnacentral:tRNA from 1 species